GACGAACGCUGGCGGCGUGCCUAAUACAUGCAAGUCGAGCGAAGUUUUUCUGGUGCUUGCACUAGAAAAACUUAGCGGCGAACGGGUGAGUAACACGUAAAGAACCUCCCUCAUAGACUGGGACAACUAUUGGAAACGAUAGCUAAUACCGGAUAACAGUAUUUCUCGCAUGAGAGAUAUUUAUAAGUUGGUUAUGCUAACACUAUGAGAUGGCUUUGCGGUGCAUUAGCUAGUUGGUGGGGUAAAGGCCCACCAAGGCGACGAUGCAUAGCCGACCUGAGAGGGUGAUCGGCCACACUGGGACUGAGACACGGCCCAGACUCCUACGGGAGGCAGCAGUAGGGAAUCUUCCGCAAUGGGCGAAAGCCUGACGGAGCAACGCCGCGUGAGUGAAGAAGGAUUUCGGUUCGUAAAGCUCUGUUGUUAGGGAAGAAUGGAUAUGUAGUAACUAUACAUGUAAGAGACGGUACCUAACCAGAAAGCCACGGCUAACUACGUG
rnacentral:rRNA from 1 species